UACGGAGGGUGCUAGCGUUGUUCGGAAUGACUGGGCGUAAAGGGCGCGUAGGCGGCCGGUUGCGUCGGAUGUGAAAGCCCGGGGCUCAACCCCGGAACGGCAUCCGAUACGGGAUGGCUCGAGACCGAGAGAGGUGAGUGGAAUACCCAGUGUAGAGGUGAAAUUCGUAGAUAUUGGGUGGAACACCGGUGGCGAAAGCGGCUCACUGGCUCGGUUCUGACGCUGAGGUGCGAAAGCGUGGGGAGCAAACAGG
rnacentral:rRNA from 1 species